UCGUCUACUAGCAUACUCUUCGUUGCUCCACUAAUCAUAGAGGUCCUUCCAUAUGUCCGUCAACAUCCAAUGUUCCCUAUAGGACUUUCAGUCUGAUGGUGAUGGAGAAUCGAAAUGCUUGAUGGUGGACUAUCGUAGGCUAUGUAGCCCAUUUCAAAACCUACAUGUGACCACCUGCUUAAAGAUCGGAUGGCUAGCCUCCUCAUCCUAAGAAAAUAAGAAUCAGUAGUACCCCUGUAAGUAGAAACAAGCGUGUAUUAAUAAAUAGAAUACAAACCUACCAUGA
rnacentral:lncRNA from 1 species